rnacentral:rRNA from 1 species
AUUGAACGAUGGCGGCAGGCCUAACACAUGCAAGUCGAGCGAGCGGCGGACGGGUGAGGAAGGUAUGGGGACUGCCCGAUAGAGGGGGAUAACUACUGGAAACGGUGGCUAAUACCGCAUACUAUCGGAUAACCCAUAUGGGAUUAGCUAGUAGGUGGGGUAAAGGCUCACCUAGGCGACGAUCUCUAGCUGGUCUGAGAGGAUGAUCAGCCACACGUGGACUGAGACACUGCCCCGACUCCUACGGAUGCAGCAGUGGGGAAUAUUGCACAAUGGGCGCAAGCCGGAUGCACCCAUGCCGCGUGUAUGAAGAAGGCCUUAGGGUUGUAAAGUACUUUCAGCUGUGAGGCGUUACCCGCAGAAGAAGCACCGUCUAACUCCGUGCCAGCAGCCGCGGUAAUAC